ACCGAAAUAGCUCAGUUGGGAGAACGUUAGACUAUAAAUCGAAAAGUACCUGGUUCCAUCCCGGGUUCCGGCA
rnacentral:tRNA from 1 species